rnacentral:rRNA from 1 species
AACGAACGCUGGCGGCAUGCCUAACACAUGCAAGUCGAACGAAGGCUUCGGCCUUAGUGGCGCACGGGUGCGUAACGCGUGGGAAUCUGCCCCUGGGUACGGAAUAACAGCGAGAAAUUGCUGCUAAUACCGUAUGAUGACGUAAGUCCAAAGAUUUAUCGCCCAGGGAUGAGCCCGCGUAGGAUUAGCUAGUUGGUGGGGUAAAGGCCUACCAAGGCGACGAUCCUUAGCUGGUCUGAGAGGAUGAUCAGCCACACUGGGACUGAGACACGGCCCAGACUCCUACGGGAGGCAGCAGUGGGGAAUAUUGGACAAUGGGCGAAAGCCUGAUCCAGCAAUGCCGCGUGAGUGAUGAAGGCCUUAGGGUUGUAAAGCUCUUUUACCCGGGAAGAUAAUGACUGUACCGGGAGAAUAAGCCCCGGCUAACUCCGUGCCAGCCGCCGCCGUAAUAC